rnacentral:lncRNA from 1 species
CUUCUACUUUGAAGAUAGUAAAGUGCGGUCUGCAAUGGAAAGAACCCAACGCGUUACCUGCGCAGUUCAUCCACAGACCCUGGUAAACCCAAGUGGCAGUUAUCACCGAGGAUGCUCUGGUGGUUACUUUCCACUCAUUGGAUGUGGUCGCAGCAACGAGAGCUCCAAACCCUCCGAACGCCACACACCAGAGCCGAGAUCUGGGCCCUGGACAUGUCGCUCAGCCUUCUCCAGUGACACCGUCCAGACAGAGCUCUUCGGUGGUCUAGGCAUGCAGUGGACAAAUAACACUUGGACGAAAGUUACAGCAAGUUCAUGGGGGAUGAGACAAACUUCCGCAUGCUUAUGUGCUGAUGGGAAUGAUUCAGUAAAAAGGAAGAAUGUGAUAAUGCGGAAGAGAGAUUGGGGAAAAUUGCAGAAGCCAAACUUUGACAAGGGUCGAAGGGAUGAGAUUCUUAUUGUGAGCAUUUGUGGAGCCAUUGGCCUCUGUCGGGGAAUCUCGGGAACAGGGACACAGUGAAGUCUUCCCUCACCUUCCCCAGAAGAGCAGGGCUGAGGCCAAGAGAAGGCUUGUCAUGUCUACAUAACUAGCCUCCUGAUUUUUGAGUGAACCUGUGACUGAGAGCUGGGGAAGAUGACGAACAGAGUCUGGAUGAGCGUCGUCCUGACCUGACCUCCAUCCUCUCAACCCUUCUAUUCCUGCCUGCCCUUGCACUUUCCCUUCGGAACCAUUCAGGUCUCCCCAGAGUUCCAUCUCACAGCUGAAAUCUUUCUUAACCCCAUUUCAAUGUUAUUUGAAAGCAUAUCCCUUGAUAUUUGAGGGGCUUUAUUCACAAAAGCAAGGAGGAGGUGUGAGGCUGGAAAUGGCACAAGGGUCUGAAAUACCGAUUUGUUAUUUCUCUCAGCUUUUAAACUGGGGUACAGGGCAACGUGCAACAUGCAGCAAAGGCAAACAUCAUAGCAUUUUGACCAGAACCGGGCUCCUUACAGUUGUGACAGGUGGAAAGAGUUGCCUUUGGUGGCCUAUGACCUCCAUUUGGUGGCCACUUCCACUAAUCCAGGCCUUUGGUAUGUUGUUCAUACCUUUCUUCAAAAUUAUUUUUAAUUUCCGACUUCCGAUGUCUUGGGGACUAUUUCUUUGCAAUUUAUUUUUCGUUUUACUGCAUGACGGUCAACGAAGUUUUUCUAUAAGAUAUCAAUUCUUUUAAUUCUUUCACGGACUAACAAAUUGAUAUAAAUGUCCUAUGCACUUAAUAAGGAUAAGCUGAAAAAGCUAUACCAGCAAUACCAGUCUCUUGACUCCAAACGUGGUGUGCACCAACCACAGCAUCUCUGGAUCAGCAAGUUGCUCCUCAUUUGCUUGCCCUCCUCUGCACACACAUGCAGUAGUUGAGGUUUCAG